rnacentral:lncRNA from 1 species
GGAGCCAACAUAACCAUAUCAUAUCUCCAGUCUAGCAAUUUGCCUUAUGCCUCAGUGUAGUGUACUCAUCAUUAGAAAACUAGCAGAAAAGUCCUAAGGCAGUAAGAAGCAGGGAUUAUGAAAAGUACCUUGUCUGUCAUCCCUCUAUUUUUAAUGUUUAAUUUUUAAUGUUCCAGGUCAUCUGACAUAACAAAAGAUACAAUCUAUUUUUAGAUGGCCUAUAAAAGAGUGAUAAGUCUAGUUUAUGGACUCUGAAAUUCUUAGGACUAUAUUACGAGAACCUUGUAUAUUUAGCUUAUAUGGAUACAUAUCACAUAAAUAAACAUUUACUUAAAAUUGUGUAGGCAGUCACACACUUUCUAUAGAGGGUGUCAGAUUUGUUUUGAACCCUGAACUUAACAUUUAUCUGUUACCCAAGAUCACAGAACUAGUCAGUAGCAGAGUCAAGAUUAGAAUCAUGAAAUCAGCAAAUGAUCUUUCCAUAACAACUCAGUCUUCUAGAGGAAAUAACCACCUUUGACUCACUAGAGCUGCAGUCAACUCGGAAAAGAUAGUAAUAUAUUACACAUGCACAUAUUUUUAUUGCUAGACCGUAUAAUCUUAUCUUCAACUGAGGUUUCAAUAUUUUCUCUGUAAAUACACACCACUUCCUUUGUGCACCACUAUAGCUAAAUUAUUAAUAAACAUAGUAGAAGGAAAAGUCUUUGGUAGACCUGUAGAUCUAAUAUUAGGUCAACAACAGAAUAUCACUCCUUUCCUGCUAUAAAAAACUGCUAUACUUUUGCAUUAUUAUAGCCCCUUUUAAACCACUAAUCAAAUCCCUGAGGGAAAGGGAACUAACAUUUAUUGUGAUGCUAAAAACAUUUAUAUGCUAGGAACUAUGGAAGAGUCUUAACAUAAACACAGACAUUCAACAAAUACAAAUUAAUUUAAAUAUAUACAUUAUGCAUACAUUUAUUUCAGUUUCAUAAGACACACAAAAAAAGCCCACAGAAAAGUGUCUCAAGGAAAAAACUUGCCACCUUUUCAUCAUUUUUAUUGGUGCUGGUCUGAACUUUGGUUUAACAGAAUCACUGAACUGUAACAUGUUGCCUCCAAAGCCAAACCUCUGGGUUUGGGUGUUUUGUGUAUAUAUGUUGAUUAUAAUUAAUAUGUGAUUGUUGUCAGAAUAUGACAUAUGACUAGCAAACUUUUUGCUCCCCUCUUCAUCACCCAAGUCCUCAGGGAGUUUUCCCUGAAGCCCAGGGCAUUUGUGUGUCAUGGCACAAAGUUAAGCUUAAUUAGUUAAAAAAAAAAAAAGCUCUUGAGUCAUUUUAAAAAAGCAAAUUAAAACCGAGGUAAUAACAUCACUUCUGCUAUUUCUUAUUAGCUCACUUCUUGUUCAAUUUAUCUAAAUAUUGGUUUCUAAAAAUAAGAUUUUAUUAUUUUUCUGAGCCUGCUUGAGACUUUUCUUGGUGUUGAAGCAAAUGCCAUCUGACAAACAGCAAGUGGGCUAUUUAGAUUACAAUUGAAGAGUCCGAAGUCAUCUACAGUUCUGAAAAUCUAUGAUUUUAUUUCAAGUAGUGUUGUAGAUGCUAAAACAAUACACAUGCAGUUGGCAGGUCCAACUCUCUACCUCUAUGGGGAACAUGUUAACAUAAAAGUUUUAUUAAGCGUCAGCUCUUUCUGGGAGAGUAAAACAGAAUAUACUGAUUCAAAUGUAUAGUCAGUCAACCAAUGAUAAUUUAGAAUACAAGGUUCAUCUAAGAUCUAUUUUUAGCUGGUUUUGAAUAUCAACCCAAUGGAGCUAAUAUGGAAGGCUUAGAAAUCAAAUGUAGUAUUUUCAUUUUUUAUUCUUAAAUAAAUGUAGAUAAAAUAUUUCUAACUCACCUCAGUUUCUCAUUAAUCUUUAUGUCUCCUAUAUCAAGGAAUAAAGUCAAUGAGUCACAGACAGAGAAGUAACUUAGAGUCUAUGUUAUAUUUAAAGGUAGAUAGUAAUGAAAUUUAACUUCUCUUUAUGAUUAUAGUAAAAUGAAGAUUAUGUCUAUUAUUAUUUAAAGGAUAAAAGAGAAAACAAUGCUUUUGAGACCUAAAAAUUUUUUUUAAAUUUUUUAUUAUUUGUGUGUGUGUGUGUUUUUGCCAUUUCUUGGGCCAUUUCCACAGCAUAUGGAGGUUCCCAGGCUAGGGGUUGAAUCAGAGCUGCAGCCGCCAGCCUAUGCCACAGCCACAGCAACACAGGAUCCGAGCCACGUCUGAGACCUACACCACUGAGUAAGGCCAGGGAUGGAACCCGAAACCUCAUGGUUCCUAGUCGGAUUCAUUAACCACUGAGCCACGACGGGAACUCCAUAAAAAUUUAUUUUCAUUAUUAUUAUUUGUUUCUUUUUUUUGGCUGCACUAGAGCAUAUGGAGUUCCCAGGCCAGGGAUCAGAUCCAAGCCACAGCUGUGGCAAUGUGCAGGCCAGGGAUCAAACCUAUAUCGCAGUGCUUCAGAGAUGCCACAGAUCCCAUUAUGCCACAGUGGGAACUCCUAUAUUAUUAAAUAUAUUAACAAUGUGAACAAAGCUUUAUUAUUUCAAUUCAUCAAUUAAGACAUGUUUAGCCAUGAGAUUCUAAUAAAAAUACAAGCCUUUUAUUCAGAGAUCAUACUACUAUGAUAGUAUCUAUAUCAUACUACUAUGACAUGACAGCAUUUUCAGUGUAUACUUAACAACAAAAAUGAAUUAAUGCUUUUUAUCAAAUAUCAGUUCUGUAGUGGAUGAUUAUAAUCAUUCAGUAUUUUCUUCUGCACUCUAACUUAUAUUAUCUGAGGCAAUAAACCAUUUGGCUCAGAAUCAGUAAUGAGAUGAAAUCAAACUAUUCUAGAAGGCUUGUAAGAUGUUGAGUUGUUUUCUGCUCUGUACUUAAAAUGCAAUAUCCCAGAACUGAAGCACCAAAGAUUAUAUUACUAAGAGUCAUUUAUCUAUAGUUUCAAUAACAAAGCUAGUAUAAAAUAUAAAACAAUUCAUAAUACUCUUCAGCAAAGAAGAUAACACUAAAAUAACCCUUGGGCUCCAAUUUAAGCUCACACAACAAAAAGAAACCUUGAAUUGCAAUUGCCUUUUUUUUUUUCCCCUGCACCUGUGGCAUGUGGAAGUUCCCUCGCUAGGGACUGAACCUACUACCAUCACCAUAGCUGCAGCAGUGCCAGAUCCUUAGUGCACUGUAGCACAUGGGAACUUCCUAGAAUUGUCUUUGUAGCCUCAAUUUACUCCCUAAAGAGUUAACAUGGAGGAUUAAGAUUUAAUUCUCUCUCCACAGGGAAAAAGAAGACUAUCACAAACUCAAAAAGCUGUAGACCAAAGGUCCUUCUCCUUUUUGAGAAGAAACAAUUUUUAAUGCCCCAAAGCUCAGAGAUGUUUGCUAGUGACCGACUGGAGAGGAACCAUGCCAGAUUUGCUCCAUUCUCUCAGAAUCCUAUGGGGUAUGAACAAAGUAGCCUGGUUUUGAGGUGUAAUAUUAAACUCUGAUUUAUAAUUUUUUGUGUAUGAGACAAUGAAUCUCCUGUAGGAGUGACUGUAUAAUUUUUGUGUCUUUGCAAAAAAUCCUGAAACAAAGAGCACUCUUUUGCACUGAGGAUGACCUUAAUGGGUUUGGCAUCCCAAAGAUGGGCCAAGAAUAAGUUAGGGUUUAGAAGUGAAUUUCAUUAAAUCAAAACUGCCGCAGUAUAUAUAAUGCAGAGGAAAGUGUGAUAUUCUCAAAUCAGGGGCAGUGUAAGACAGAGGUCUGAGAAGAAAAAAAGAUUUUAGUGAGGAUUAUCUCUUGUGGUUUUAUUGGGUGGAGUAGAGUUAAAAUUAAAAAAAAGGUGUGCUGUUCUCUGUGAGGUUCUGUGGAAGGUACAAGAUGAAUGCCUGCCCUGUCUCACUGUUACUCCCCACAUUCUGCAAAGCAACUGAAUAACAAAAGUACUGUGAGAGUGGAAUUUGCAGGGGGAAGGAGGUUGAAAUUGAGCAGAGGUUGCAUUUUAUGUUUAGUUGAUGCUGCUAGGGAUAAAGUGCUUGAGAAAUGGCAUGAGUAAGAUCUUCCAAGUAUGCAGAACCAAGAGAUCAGUGCCAGAGAGGAGCAGACAAAUAAAACUUCACAGACAUCACAGUGACCUUGGGGAAGGCCUUGAGACUUGAGCAGAGUAUCUGGAUUACAAUGGACAUGGAAACCUCAGUUGAAACUGAGUUACAAAGAUUGAUCAGAGUGCCUGGCCCAGACCUUGGAUGUUAGUCAGAGUAGGCUAGCUGGUGUAACAAAGGGCCCCCAAAUCUCAGUGAUUUAUAAAUAAAAUGACCAAUAAAAGUUUAUUUUUGCUUGUAUAAUAGUCCAAUAUGAAUCUAUAGCUUUAAUAGCAAAGCUAGUUUUAAAUAUAAAGCCAUUCAUCAAGUUUCUUUUUUCUUUUUUCUUUUUUUUUGGCCUUUUUGCGUUUUCUAGGGCUGCACCUGCGGCAUAUGGAGGUUCCCAGGCUAGGGGUCGAAUCAGAGCUGUAGCCGCUGACUUAUACCACAACCACAGUAACACCAGAUCCAAGCUGAGUCUGCGACCUACACCACAACUCAUGGCAACGCUGGAUCCUUAACCCACUGAGCAAGGCCAGGGAUCGAACCCGAAACCUCGUGGUUCCUAGUCGGAUUCAUUAACCACUAAGCCACAAGGGGAACUCCUCAUCAAGUUUCUUGAUAAUGAAGUCCCACUGAAAUAACUCUUAGGCUCCAACUUCAACUUAUAUCACAAAGUGAAACCUUGAAUUAGAAUUAGGGGAGGUGCUCUGCCCCAUGCAGGGUGUCAGACUCCUCUAGCAGAUCCUCAGAUAACAAUAAAUGAGAGUGAAACGCCUGCUUUUAACUGCCAUGGCCUGAAAGGGCCACCCAUCACUCUGCUUACAAUCCACUGAAUAGAGCUUUUCAGAGUCUCUUUGCAGAUGUAAUGGGCCGGGCCCUGCAGACCAGCCAUGCGAAUUAAUGAGGCUGGAAGCAUGGGUAACAGGGAAUAGCUGGCUAGUCUCCACAGUUCUCAGUAAAUAUUUGCUAGUUUAAAUUAACUACUUCUUUCCAUCACCUGUUUAUGAACCAUUCUAGGCCUUAUACUAGAACCUUGCUAAGACUGGCUAUGGCGAAACAGCUCCCUGUUUACGAUUCCUAGACAACAACGGUUUAUAACAAGAAACACCUAAGGGGCACAAUUCCUUAACCCAAAGCAAUGUGUUGAGGAUGGUGAAAAGGCGGUAGUCCUGACCUAUAUCCUCUAAAGUUGCAUUUAUAAAUACUUGACUGUUGUGACUAGUGAUGUGUUUUUACCUCUCUGGGAGCAACAUCUGCCAUGUAACACGUUUUAUCUACAAACACUUCUUCUCUGUAAGAUUCCUCUAAGUGCUUUACUAAUGCCAACUCAUUGAAUCCUUACAAUCCUAUGCGGCACACAAUAUUUAGCUCCAUUUUACAAUUGAGAAAACUAAGGCACAGAGAGGACAGAAAACUGUGAGUAAUAGCUCAUAUGUGAUAGUUCAGAGAUUCAAAACCAGGCAGUUGGAAUGAAAAGACUGAACUCAAACUCCCACCCCAUGCUACUUCCCCUCUUGUCAGCCUCUUCCUCCCCUUUCCACACUUGAGUUUGCACCCAGAACAUUAUGUGCACAAUAGGGGUUUGUCUAAAAUUUCCACAGGGGCAUUGUUCUUUCACAUUGCUUCUGGUUGAUAGUCACAGAUGGAAAUAAAGCCUGAUAAGCAUAUAUUUUGGGAUCAACAAUCAAAUUCCAGAAACCCUUAAUCCAUCCUAGAUUAGAUUAAAGCAAUAAAGAGAAUUCCAAGCUCUAAUAGCAGACUGUUAGAAAAGAAAGAGGGAGGUGUCUUUUACCCUUACCUACAAAUCAUAUACUAUUCAUUCAUUCGACCAACCUUUAUUAAGUUCCCUCGAAAGUCAUGAGGUACAAUGGUGUGCAAGAUAGACAUGGUUCUUGCGCUCAUGAAACUUUUGGCCAAUAAAGGAGAUAUACUUGAAUCAAAUAUGUUUACAAACAGAUAAUUAAUUACAAUUGUAUAAGCUCUAUGAAAAAGUAUGAGUAUACAUGAGUGGGAAAUGUUAGCAAGUCUGAAGAUUCAGGCAAGGCUUGCUUCCCCCAAAAUGUAACAUUUGAGUCAUAGCUAAAUAAGUCAAAGGAGGCAUAAGGAGGGGAAGAAUAUUUCAAGCAAAAGCAACAUCCUGAGUAAAGGCUCUUCAGGGGGAAGGAGGUGGGGCUUUGGAGGGAACUGAAGAAAGUCGAAUGUGGGAGAGGGAGGCAUGAGAAAGAUAGAAAAGCAGGCAGAGGAUCCUGAAGAGGCUCACUAGAGAAUUUUGGUGUUAUUCCAAGAGUAAUGAAAAUCCAGUGAAGGAUUUUAGGCAGGGAAAGUCACAUGAUCAGAUUUUCAUUUUAAUUAAUUAAUUAAUUAAUUAGGGCCGUGUCCACAGCAUAUGGAAGUUCUCAGGCUAGUGUUUCAAUCACAGCUGCAGCUGCUAGCUUAUACCACAGCCACGGCAAUGCCAGAUCCAAGCCACAUCUGUGACCUACACCACAGCUUACAGCUCACUGCAAUGCUGUAUCCUUAACCUACUGAACAAGGCCAGGGACCAAACCUGCAUCCUCAUGGAUACUAGUUGGGUUUGCUGCCACUGAGCCACAAUGGGAACUCCAGAUUUUCAUUUAGACAGAUUGUUUUGGCAGACAGAUUUGAGAGGUUUGUAGUGGAAGUAGGUGGAUCAUUUUGGAGGCUACUGCAAUUGUCUAUAGAGAUUUGCACCUAUACAACUGACUGCAUCUUUGUAUGAGGUAGUCCUUGCCAAUGGCUUGAAACUCAAGAAUGCUGUUGGAAGGAAUGUAAAUUGAUACAACCACUAUGGAAAACAGUAUGGAGGUUCCUCAGAAAACUAAAUAUAGAACUACCAAAUGAUCCAGCAAUCCCACUCCUGAACAAAUAUCCAGACAAAAUUGAACUCAGAAGGAUACAGGCACGUAUGUGUUCAUAACAGCACCAUUCACAAAACCCAAGACAUGGAAGCAACCUGAAUGUCCACUGUAAGGUGAAUGAAUUAAGAAGGUGUGGUACAUAUAUACAAUGGAAUACUACUCAUCCAUAAAAAGAACAAAAUAAUGUCAUUUGCAGCAACAUAGAUGCAACUAGAGAUUAUCAUACUAAGUGAAGUAAGUCAGAAAGAGACACCAUAUGAUAUCACUUAUAUGUGAGAUCUAAAAUAUGGCACAAAAAGAACUGAUCUACAAAACAGAAGCAGACUCACAGACAUAGAGAACAGACUUGUGGUUGCCAAGAAGGAGGGGGAAGGGGAGAGGAAGUGGGAUGGACGGAGAGUUUGGGGUUAGUAGAUGCAAACUAUUACAUUUAGAGUGGAUAAGCAAUGAGGUCCUAUUUUAUAGUGCAGGGAACUCUAUCUAGUCUUUUGGGAUAGACCACCAUGAAAGAUAAUAUAAGAAAAGGAACUUAUAUAUAAGUAUGACUGGGUCCCUUUGCUGUACAGCAGAAAUUGGCACAACACUGUAAAUCAACUACACUUUAAUCAAAAAAAAAAAA